rnacentral:rRNA from 1 species
AUUGAACGCUGGCGGCAGGCCUAACACAUGCAAGUCGAGCGGCAGCGGAAAGUAGCUUGCUACUUUGCCGGCGAGCGGCGGACGGGUGAGUAAUGUCUGGGGAUCUGCCUGAUGGAGGGGGAUAACUACUGGAAACGGUAGCUAAUACCGCAUAACGUCGCAAAACCAAAGCGGGGGACCUUCGGGCCUCGCGCCAUCAGAUGAACCCAGAUGGGAUUAGCUAGUAGGUGGGGUAAUGGCUCACCUAGGCGACGAUCCCUAGCUGGUCUGAGAGGAUGACCAGCCACACUGGAACUGAGACACGGUCCAGACUCCUACGGGAGGCAGCAGUGGGGAAUAUUGCACAAUGGGCGCAAGCCUGAUGCAGCCAUGCCGCGUGUAUGAAGAAGGCCUUCGGGUUGUAAAGUACUUUCAGCGAGGAGGAAGGCGGUAAGGUUAAUACCCUUACUGAUUGACGUUACUCGCAGAAGAAGCACCGGCUAACUCCGUG